AGCGAACGCUGGCGGCAGGCCUAACACAUGCAAGUCGAGCGCCCAGCAAUGGGAGCGGCAGACGGGAGAGUAACACGUGGGAACGUGCCCUUUGGUUCGGAAUAACUCAGGGAAACUUGAGCUAAUACCGGAUAAGCCCUUACGGGGAAGAUUAUUGCCAAAGGAGCGGCCCGCGUCCGAUAGCUAGUUGGUGAGGUAAUGGCUCACCAAGGCGACGAUCGGUAGCUGGUC
rnacentral:rRNA from 1 species